ACUCCUACGGGAGGCAGCAGUGGGGAAUUUUGGACAAUGGGCGAAAGCCUGAUCCAGCAAUGCCGCGUGUGUGAAGAAGGCCUUCGGGUUGUAAAGCACUUUUGUCCGGAAAGAAAUCCUUGGUUCUAAUAUAGCCGGGGGAUGACGUACCG
rnacentral:rRNA from 1 species